rnacentral:misc_RNA from 1 species
GAGUUUACAACUCCCAAACCCAAUGUGAACCAUACCAAACUGUUGCCUCGGCGGGGUCACGCCCCGGGUGCGUCGCAGCCCCGGAACCAGGCGCCCGCCGGAGGGACCAACCAAACUCUUUCUGUAGUCCCCUCGCGGACGUUAUUUCUUACAGCUCUGAGCAAAAAUUCAAAAUGAAUCAAAACUUUCAACAACGGAUCUCUUGGUUCU